GAGUUUGAUCUUGGCUCAGAAUGAACGCUGGCGGCGUGGUUAAGACAUGCAAGUCGAACGGUUUUUUCGGUGUAGCAAUACAUCGAAAAAGCAGUGGCGAACGGGUGCGUAACACGUGAACAAUCUACCUCCGAGUGGGGAAUAGCUCGCCGAAAGGCGAAUUAAUACCGCAUGUGGUCGGGACUCGCAUGAGUCCUGAACUAAAGUCAGGGACCGCAAGGCCUGACGCUAGGAGAGGAGUUCGCGGCCUAUCAGCUAGUUGGCGAGGUAAUGGCUCACCAAGGCUAAGACGGGUAGCUGGUCUGAGAGGAUGAUCAGCCACGCUGGAACUGAGACACGGUCCAGACACCUACGGGAGGCAGCAGUGGGGAAUAUUGGACAAUGGGCGGAAGCCUGAUCCAGCAACGCCGCGUGAGGGAUGACGGCCUCGGUUG
rnacentral:rRNA from 1 species